rnacentral:lncRNA from 1 species
GGGAUCGUUGCAGGACACGGGUGUGAGUCUGGGAGCCGUGGGACUCAGGGAGAUUUCUGCUGAUGGCCCCAGGGCUCCUCAAGGCCACCCUGGAAGAGGGAAGCCGAGGGUGCAAUCCUGCAGGUGGGUGGGAAUCGGGGGAAAAGCGACAAGCUCCACAGAAGAUAAAACCUUCUGACAGACCUGCCGGCUGAGGGGAGUGGAGCUGGGAUCAGGCAGCGAACAGCACGGACACACCAGUGGUCAAGGAGAGGCCGGGCAGAGGUCUCCCGGGCACUGUCACUGAUGGGCACUUGCUGAGUCACGGCAGCACUAGCGCAUUCACCGUCCUCACCCCACGUGAUUGGCGCCACCUAACGCGGCAGGUAUGUUUACCCCGGUUUCACAGGUGAGGCACCAGGUCCAGCACCCUGCCCCAGGACCCCAGCAGCAGGUCCACACCCGUGCGACCCCUCGGACCCUGCUCGCCCACCAGCACUGCGUCCAGCAGGUACGCUGGACUCCUGGAGACACUGUGCUCGGGAAGCCUCCAUCCUGAGGGGAGGAAGAUGCACCCGGUGGAGUUUGGGGUGCUCCUUCAUGCUCCAGAGUUGGGCAGCUGAGCUGCAGGAGCUGGGAGGCUGUGUGCUAAGUGGAGUUGAGGU